rnacentral:rRNA from 1 species
AUUGAACGCUGGCGGCAUGCCUUACACAUGCAAGUCGAACGGCAGCACGGGAGCAAUCCUGGUGGCGAGUGGCGAACGGGUGAGUAAUAUAUCGGAACGUGCCCAGUCGUGGGGGAUAACGCAGCGAAAGUUGUGCUAAUACCGCAUACGAUCUAUGGAUGAAAGCGGGGGAUCGCAAGACCUCGCGCGAUUGGAGCGGCCGAUAUCAGAUUAGGUUGUUGGUGAGGUAAAAGCUCACCAAGCCUGCGAUCUGUAGCUGGUCUGAGAGGACGACCAGCCACACUGGAACUGAGACACGGUCCAGACUCCUACGGGAGGCAGCAGUGGGGAAUUUUGGACAAUGGGCGCAAGCCUGAUCCAGCAAUGCCGCGUGCAGGAUGAAGGCCUUCGGGUUGUAAACUGCUUUUGUACGGAACGAAAAGGCUCUGGUUAAUACCUGGGGCUCAUGACGGUACCGUAAGAAUAAGCACCGGCUAACUACGUG